rnacentral:rRNA from 2 species
AUUAAACAAGAUAAGAGUUUUUGGUGGAUGCCUUGGGUCUGGAAGUCGAUGAAGGACGUGAUUACCUGCGAUAAGCCUCGGUUAGCUGGAAAUGAGCUGUGAUCCGGGGAUUUCCGAAUGGGGAAACCUAAUUGAGCUAAUCCUCAAUUAUCAUAUCGAUGAAUACAUAGUCGAAUGAAGAGACACGCUGUGAAUUGAAACAUCUCAGUAGCAGCAGGAAGAGAAAAUAAAGAAUGAUUCCCUCAGUAGUGGCGAGCGAACGGGGAAGAGCCCAAACCAACAUUCGUUGUUGGGGUUAUAGGACUACAUUUUAGAGUUACAAAAUUUACAUAUAGCAGAAUAAGUUGGAAUGCUUAAACAUAGAGGGUGAAAUUCCCGUAAGCGAAAUGUGUAGAUCUCUUUGUAGUAUCCUGAGUAGGGCGGGGCACGUGAAACCCUGUCUGAAUUUGCCGGGACCACCCGGUAAGGCUAAAUACUAACCAGACACCGAUAGUGAACUAGUACCGUGAGGGAAAGGUGAAAAGAACCCAGAGAUGG